GCAUAGUAAGGACGACCUUCACAGUUUGUUUUGAACGCACGGUUGACCCCAGGAAGUAAAAGUGAUAUCGUCAGCUGUUACCAGUAGACGUGAGUUUCGCUGUUUUUCUUGGCACCCUUUCGAGACACAUGCUGUUAUGAUGUGACACGCUUCAAACUCGUCUUUUCUUAGAUGCAGGAGUGAGUGUCAGCGUGAAAAACGUACUCAAGUCCAAGGAUACUACGAAUGCGAUAAGUUAUGGAUGACGAUGAAAGGGAAAAUUUUCUGGUUUAUUUUUUACUUUGCUUUUGUGGUCAGAAUUUUCCGAUAGUUUGGGAAGCGCCUUCAGUAGUAAUGGAUGAUCUUCAAUUGCGCAACUGUUUGGAUCCAAUCACAUGGAUUCAUUAGUUUCCAAUAGUCAAAGCCUGAUUUGGUCUUUGUGAAACUCUUCUGUCAUACCUUGAUCCAACGCGUCUGUCUGUUCAUACCCGAAGCCUCUGAUGAACUGAGUAAUAUUCCCGUGCAUCAAUUUGAGCCGGUCCCAACGGAUUGAAUCAUUGUUUUUUUUCGCCUGACAAUUUAUUCUUUGUUUUUUAAUUAUCUACAUCGAAGGGCUAUUUAUAACGGGCAGCUUUGUACUUGUUUUGGUUUUAAGUUCCCCCAUCUCCGAGAUAUACUGAGAUGUGGUUUUACGUACAUGGGGAUUGGUCGUUUGCUUACUAGCACUCACUAGCAAAGAACUUUUUUUUUUAAAUUACUUCAAAUUUGUUUCUACUAUUACAUUCAUAAAAACGACUGACCAUGAAACCGACCGGUGGGAUUAAGAACCGAAUCAGUUAAGCAUAUACAGGGACGGUCAUCGUAGAAUUUAGUCAGUCGAGUAGCAAAUCUGGGCCCUGGUAGGAGUAUUUCAAAUAUUAGGUGACGGUUUCAAAAGAAUUUUUUCCACUUCGGUGAUUUUCGAUAAAAAGUGAUAAUGGGCAAAGGAAAAGGAGGUGGUGGCGGUGGUGGAGGAUCCGGUGCUAAUCAAGGUGGCAAUCAAAAAGGUGGUGCAGGAAAAUCAAAAGGUGGAAAUGACAAUAAAGGUGCUGCUGGAGGUAAGGGAGCCGACAAGGGAGGAAAAAAGGGUGGCAAUAAGAAAUAAGGAUGGAAGCAUCGGCAGCUUCAACCCGUUCCCUGGCGAACAUCCAUACCCGACGCCGUUCAGGAAGAGAUAAAUUAAAUUCCUUGGUGAAAUUCGUGACUGCAAACAUUGUGAGAUAAACAAAAUUAUUUUCUACUAUACAAGUAUUUAUUUUUGUAUAUAAAUGUGUUUCAACAGUUCGUGUAAUAAUUUUAAGACUCAAUAAAUUAGUUGAACAAAUUUACGAAACAACUGAUGUUUUGCUAAUGAUAAA